AUUGAACUGAAGAGUUUGAUCCUGGCUCAGAUUGAACGCUGGCGGCAUGCCUUACACAUGCAAGUCGAACGGCAGCACGGGCUUCGGCCUGGUGGCGAGUGGCGAACGGGUGAGUAAUACAUCGGAACAUGUCCUGUAGUGGGGGAUAGCCCGGCGAAAGCCGGAUUAAUACCGCAUACGAUCUAAGGAUGAAAGCGGGGGACCUUCGGGCCUCGCGCUAUAGGGUUGGCCGAUGGCUGAUUAGCUAGUUGGUGGGGUAAAGGCCUACCAAGGCGACG
rnacentral:rRNA from 1 species